AACACUUCCGGAGUUCCUCUUCCCAGGGACAGAACUCUGUGUGUGUGUGCGUGUACACGAAAAGCACGCCCCAAGGUUCUUUUCCUCCCCUCCUUUUUUACUCCUGCCUCCUUGCCUAAUGGACCGGAACUGUCCCUAACCGAACCAGCUCGGCGGGCACUUCCGGGACGGGAGACGAGGGUUCCGGGAAGGUGCUGGGAGGCGAGGCAGAGGCAGCGGCGGCGGCGGCUGGAGGAUGAAGAAGGAGCAUGUGUUGCACUGUCAGUUCUCCGCGUGGUACCCACUGUUCCGAAGUCUCACCAUCAAGAGUGUCAUUCUUCCACUUCCUCAGAAUGUGAAGGAUUAUUUACUUGAUGAUGGAACUCUGGUGGUUUCAGGAAGGGACGAUCCGCCAACAUGUUCUCAGCCAGACAGUGAUGAUGAAGCAGAAGAAAUACAGUGGUCGGACGACGAGAACACAGCCACACUCACGGCACCAGAAUUUCCUGAGUUCGCCACUAAAGUCCAAGAAGCUAUCAACUCCCUGGGGGGCAGUGUAUUUCCAAAGCUUAACUGGAGUGCGCCAAGGGAUGCAUACUGGAUAGCAAUGAAUAGUUCUCUGAAAUGUAAAACCCUCAGCGACAUCUUCCUACUGUUCAAGAGUUCUGAUUUCAUCACUCAUGACUUCACCCAACCAUUUCUUCAUUGUACUGAUGACUCUCCAGACCCGUGUGUAGAAUAUGAGCUUGUUCUUCGAAAAUGGUGCGAAUUAAUUCCUGGGGCUGAGUUCCGAUGUUUUGUCAAGGAAAAUAAGCUUAUUGGUAUUUCUCAAAGGGACUACACACAAUAUUACGAUCAUAUUUCUAAACAAAAGGAAGAGAUUUGCAGAUGCAUACAAGACUUUUUCAGGAAACACAUACAGUAUAAAUUCUUAGAUGAAGACUUUGUAUUCGAUAUAUAUAGAGACAGUAGGGGGAAGGUGUGGCUGAUUGAUUUUAAUCCAUUUGGUGAAGUCACAGAUUCGCUGCUGUUUACCUGGGAUGAACUGUUAUCUGGAAGAAACUUAAAGGGUGAUUUUAGCGAAGAAGCUCUGGAGCAGGAUGCUCCGGCCUUCCGUUGCACCAACAGCGAAGUCACAGUUCAGCCGAGUCCCUACCUGAGUUACCGGCUACCCAAGGACUUCGUGGACCUCUCAACCGGGGAGGAUGCUCACAAACUCAUCGACUUUCUUAAACUGAAAAGGAAUCAGCAAGAGGAUGACUGAUUCGUGUGCUAGAGUUCAAGGCCAAGUCACAGAGGAAACCACCGCUGCUUCUGGAGGCCGUGCACAGUUCACAGCCUCCUGUGGACCCGGUCGGGGGGGUGGGGGGCAGCGUGGAGGUGGUGGCAUAUAGCACAAGCCUCCCCAACAGCAGACUCUGCCAGAAGUUCUGUUUAAGGAAGUAUCAUUUUGAUUUGCAUUUUCUGAGUUCAGAGAUCUUUCCCCUCUGCUCAGCCGUUUCUCUUUUUGGCAAUUGACGAUCACGUCUGUUAAAAAGCAGACAAAGCUUGGGUGACUGAGUUCUUUGGCUUAAAUUUGUUUUCUUACCUAUAAAUUGGGAGAAUAAUAAUCAUAAAGCCAUACCUCUGUUAAAUGAGACAUAAAGCUUUUCAUGCAGUGCCUCGUAUGCAAGCCCCCGAGAAACGGUAGCUGUUAUUACCGUCCUGCUCUGCAGACCUCUAAGUUUUUCUUAAUGAAACCAAGGAAAUUUUGAGUGGAAAGGGACUUCAGAGAUCAUUCAGCCCAGUUUCUUUUCCUUUUUCCCUCCUUCCCUUCCCUCUUUUUUCCUUCCUUCCUUCUUUCUUUGAACAGAAAACCUCUCAGAGGAAUUAAGACUCGUCCAAAAUUGUAGCAGAAUCAGAACCACAAAAGGACCCCUAGUCUAAUGCUGUUCUCUAAGGAUUUUAAGCCUAACAUUUUUUGUAGAUAAGUUUCAACCAGGACAAAUUAUUAUUUUAAUGCUAGAAUUUUCAAAAAAAGAAUUGUUUUUUAGAUAAAAGUAAGUACAGAUUCAUUUCACACAUUUGUGUGCAGAGGAAUUAAAUAAGAUUAAAUACAGAGAAAUUAAAUGAAGGAAUAACUGUCUUUGAAAGAUUUAAUUAAAUUUCCUGCUUGUAUUAACUAGGCUGAUCUUGAGGGGCUACUUAGCCAUCUUUAAACAUUUUAAAGACAGAAUUCCUGUUUAACUAAACGUUUUAUUCAUGUGUUGCCUUGGCUCAUAGAAAACAGGUUCAGUAAUUGUGCUAAGAAAAUAGUGAUAAACUCACCCUCUAUAUGCACUGCAGGUCUAGUAUGUAUACACAUUAAGAAGAGGCUUGAGGAAUGGCAGUGUAAGACCUAGUAACAAAAAAGUGGUUGAAGCAGCAGCUAAAUUCCCCAUGUUAUGGGGUCGGGCAGUGAAUCUGGCAUUAAUUACCUGAAGAGAGAAUGUGUUCAAAUGUGUCCUUUUUUUUUUUUUUUUUUUUUUUAACCAGGAAAAACCAAAAUAAAACAACCCUUCUAAAUACAUAUAGACAGGAAAACUAACUGAGGUGGAGCAUUAAGGUGAUGUUAGCAGCAGAGGUGUCGGGAGGAAGUCAUGGAGGAAGAAUCUUCAGAUCAUCAGAUUUCGCAAAGAUCUUUGUUCAGACCAAUCUCCCUUUUCAUCCUCUGACUCAGAUGAUGUAUAGCCCUCAGAAUUCGGAUGAUCUGUUUGGGGCUGGUGUAUUUUUAAUGCUCCCCCAGGCUCUCAUAAUCAUCAAACAAAUCCCCAAAGACUGUGGAUUGAAAGCUGUGCCCACGUAUAAGCCUGUUAAAGCACCAAGUGUCUCCCCGCUGCCCAGGUGAGAGAGGGUAACUGGGAGAACCUCUCAAAGAGAAGCACAGGAAGAGGUCCGUGUCACAGGAGUAUCGUCUGAGUGCCCCCUGGGUCAGGACCUCAGCUUUUCGCACCUGCCUUGUCUCUCAGACAAGCACCUCGGGACAAUAAUGACAGCCAUAUGUCCCGAAUUUUCAAGAACUGUCUGGUUUUAAAGAUUCUGUCCGUUCUGUUCAGAUGAGGCGUUUUGGAGAGAGAUUGGUAGCACAGCCCAUGAGAGGCAGAGCUGGGGUUUGGUCCAGAUCUGAUUCCAGGGCAUUUCUCUUGCUAGCUGGACAUUUAAAUUGCUUCCUUUUGCUUUCCUUUGUUAUUAUAACUCACCCUACAACCGAACAACUUUUCCACAGACCAUCUGCAGUGUCAUGUUGUUGACUCUGAACAACAGAGUCAAAGAGUGUGGACAUUUUGAUGACAGUUGAUGCCUUGUGCCAAAAUGACUUUGAAAAAACUUUUGCCACUUUAUAAUAUAUAAAUUAUAGAUAUCUAUUUUUAUCCAUCUACCUAUAAACUUAUAUCAUUGCCAGCAUUAUUUAUGUUAAUUUAAAAUUUUGUUUCACUAAUUUAGUAACAAAAUGAAAAUUUAGUUUUCUUUUCUUUUCCAUUAUAGUUUAUUACAGGAUAUUGAAUACAGUUCCCAGUGCUAUAUAGUAGGACCUUGUUUUUUAUUUAUCACAUAUAUAACAGUCUGCAUCUACUAAUCCCAAACUCCCAAUCCUUCCCUCCCCAUCUCCCCCUCCCCCAAAUUUAGUAUUUUAACUUCUUUUAGAACGAUUAAACAUUAUUUCAUUUAUUUUUCCAAAGGCUAUAGUUCUUUGAGUCAUAGGUUUAUGUACUUUUUCCAUUUAUCCACUGGAGACAUUUUAAAAAAAUCAUUAGAGGAAAAUAGGAAAAACACUCUUUGACAUAAAUCACAGCAAGAUCUUUUUUGACCCACUUCCUAGAGUAAUGGAAAUAAAAACAAAAAUAAACAAAUGGGACCUAAUGGAGCUUAAAAGCUUUUGCACAGCAAAGGAAAUCAUAAACAGGUCGAAAAGACAACCCUCAGAAUGGGAGAAAAUAUUUCCAAACAAAGCAACUGACAGAGGAUUAAUCUCCAAAAUAUACAAGCAGCUCAUGCAGCUCAAUGUCAAAAAAACAAACAACCCAAUUAAAAAAUGGAAGGAAGACCUAAAUAGAUAUUUCUCCAAAGAAGACAUACAGAUGGCCAACAAACACGUGAAAAGGUGCUCAACAUCACUAAUCAUUAAAGAAAUGCAAAUCAAAACCUCAAUGAGGUAUCACCUCACAUCAGUUAGAAUGGCCAUCAUCAAAAAAAUCUAGAAACAAUAAGUGCUGGAGAGAGUGUGGAGAAAAGGGAACCCUCCUGCACUGUUGGUGGAAAUGUAAGUUGGUACAGCCACUAUGGAAAACAGUAUGGAGGUUCCUUAAAAAACUAAAAAUAGAGUUACCAUAUGACCCAGCAAUCCCACUACUGGGCAUAUACCCUGAGAAAACCAUAAUCCAAAAAGAUACAUGUACCAUAAUUUCAUUGCAACACUGUUUACAAUAGCCAGGACAUGGAAGCAGCCUAAUGUCCAUCAGCAGAUGAAUGGAUAAAAAAGAUGUGGUACAUAUGGAAUAUUACUCAGCCAUAAAAAGGAAUGAAGUUGAGUCAUUUGUAGAGACAUGGAUGGACCUAGAGUCUGUCAUAGAGAGUGAAGUAAAUCAGAAAGAGAAAAACAAAUACCGUAUGCUAAGGCAUAUAUAUGGAAUCUAGAAAAAUGGUACUGAUGAACCAAGUGGCAGGGCAGGAAUAGAGAUGCAGACAUACAGAAUGGACUUGUGGACACAGUGGGAAGGGGAGGCUGGGACGAAGUGAGAAAGUAGCAUUGACAGGUAUACACUACCAUGUGUGAAAUAGAUAGCUAGUGGGAAGCUGCUGCAGAGCACAGAGAGAUCAGCUUGGUGCUUUGUGACAAACUAGAGGGGUGGGAUGGGGAGGGCGGAAGGGAGGCUCUAGAGGGACGGGUAUAUGUAUACAUGUAGCUGAUUCACUUUGUUGUACAGCAGAAACUAACACAACAUUGUAAAGCAAUUAUAAUCCAAUAAAAAAUAAUCAGUUAAUAAGGACUUUUCUCAUACUAGGAAGAAAGAUAUUAACUCUUUGUCAGAUUUGGUGCAAAUAUUUUUUUCUGGUCUGUUUGCACUUUAAUUGUUUUUUUCAUUUUGACAUAUUUUUGAAAGUUUAGAUAGAUAUAGCCAUUUCUAACUUUUUAAUGUAUAAUGUACUGCUUCUAGACAAAUUGCUCUCUUCUAAACUCUUCUCCAGAUAUUCCAAAAAUAAUUUAUUUUCCUGUAAUCUUUCUGUGUAGUUAAACAACACUAGUUGGGAUUUAUAUUGAUUUUUGGUGGGUUAGAUGCUUAACGUGCUCCAGGCUGUUUCAUAGCAAGCAAACAAAUAAAAAUCCACAUCCCAGGAGGGCCUCCCCCCACCCCCUGCCUGCUGCCCUGCUACUGCCCUUUCCCCAUCUCUUCACCUCACACACACCUCCACUGGCUUGAGUUUGGAAUCCAUCCUUGUUACACCAACUAAACCUCUCUCUCUCUCUCUCUGUGUCUCUCUGUCUCUCUGUCUCUCAACUCGCCAAUGACCUACGCUUUCAUUUCUGUUGGGUAAAUACCUAGGAAUAGGAUUGGUGGAUUAGAUGGUUAGGUAUAUGUUUAACCUUAUGUAAAACUGGGUUUGGAUAACUGCUAAGCUGUUACCCAAAGUGGUUGUACCAUUUUAAACUCUCACUAACACUGCAAGAAAAUUUCAGUUCUCUUACGUCUUACCUACAUUUAAUAUGGUCAGUAUUUUUCAUUUUAACUAUUAAUAUAUAUAAACUAGCAUGUCAUUCUGGUUUUAAUUGGCAUUUUCCUACUGACUAAUGAUUUUGAGCACCUUUCUGCAUGUUUAGUGGCAAUUUGUAGAGCGUUAUUUUGUGACAUGUCAGUUAAAAUCUUUCGUCCAUUUAAAAAUUGGUUGUUUGUCUUUUUAUUUUUGGUUUGUAGAAAUACUUUAUAUAUUCUGAACAUACAACUCCUAUCAGAUAUAUGUAUUAUAUAUUUCUCCCAGCCUAUGCCUUCCCUUUUCAAUUUUCUUUAUGGUGUCCUUUGGACAGAAUUGUUUUACAUUUGAUUUUUUUCAGUUUAUCAAUCUUUUCUUUCAUGGCUAAUACUUUUUGUGUUCUAAGAAAUUGUUGCCUACUUCAAGGUCAUGAACAUAUAUAUUCCAUGAUGUUUUUCAUCUAGGAGCCUUAUACUUUAGAUUUAUUUUACUUUUAGUUCUAAGAUCCAGCUCAAAUAAAUUUUUGCAUGUGGUGUGAGGCGGGGUCAAGGUAUAUUCUCUUCCAUAUGGAUAUUCAGUAGUUCCAGCAAGAUGUGUUGAAAUGAAUUUCCUCAUUGAAUUACUGGACAACUUUGUUGAAAAACAACUGAUCAAAUUGUAUACACACACACACACACAAACACACACACACACAAUUUCUGGACUCCCUAUUCUGUUCCAUUGAUGUAUUUGUCUGUCUUUGCCCCAAUACCACACUGUCUUGUAGCUUUACAGUAAUAAGUGUUGGAGUCAGAGAGUGUAACCCUUCCAAACCAAUACUUCUAUUUUCAAGAUCAUUUUGGCUGUACUAUGUCUUCAUAUUUUAGAAUCAGCUUGCUAAUUUCUACCAGAAAAGCUGGAGGGACUUGGAUUGGGAUAAUGUUUAAUCUUUGGAUCAUUUUGGGGAGGAUUAACGUCUGAACAAAGUGAGUCUUCUGAACAUAAAUAUGACAUCUUUCUCCAUUUCCUUAGGCAUUUAAACAUUCUUCUCAACAAUGUUUUGAACUUUUUAAUGUAGCCGUCUAGCAUGUCUUUUAUGUGUUGCCAAGUGUGUCAUAGUUUUGAUGCUCUUAUAAUAGUAUUUUAUAAUUUUAUUUAUUGCUAGCAUACAGGAAUAGAAACACAACUGAGUUUUACAUAUGCACAUUAAAUCCUGUGAUCUUGCUAAAUUCAUUUAUUCUUUUAGUGGUUUUGUUUUGUUUUGUCUUUUUUUGCAGAUUCCUUAGGGUUUUCUAGAUAGACAAGUAUGCCAUCAGCAAAUAAUGACAGUUAUACUUCUUCCUUUUCAAGUAUUUUACAAUCAAUUAAUUAAUUGGCUGAUUAAUUAGUUGGCUAAUUAAUUAAUGCCUUAUUGUACAGGCUAGAACUCCAGUACAGUGUUGAAGUAGUGAAAGCAGACAUCCUUGCCUUGUUCUCAACCUUAAAAGACAGACAAGACUUCGACCUUAAGUAUGAUGUUUUUAUCAUGAAUGGAUAUUGAAAUUUGUCAAAUGCUUCUUCCUCACCCACAUGGACAGCCAUAUGAGUUUUCAUGUUUUAUUCUGUUAAUAUGGUGAAAUACUUAAUUGAUUUUCAAAUAUUAAAUCAACUUUGCAUUCUUGGAAUAAGCCCUAUUAGGUUAUGCUAUAUUAUCAUGUAUAUAUUUGUUCUAAGCAAAUACAUGUAUAUAUAUUUAUUUUGCUAAUAUCUUGUCCAUAUUUACAUCUUUGUUCCUGAGAGAUAUUGGUCUGUACUUUUAAUUUGUAAUGCCAUAGGCUAGUUAACAAGAUUUAGGUCAGACUGUUUGUUGCAGUCCCAUGGGCCAUUUUUCCCCAAAAUCUUUUUCCUUUGUUGCUCGGUUUAGAGAAUCUCUGCUGUCUAGUUUCACUAAUUCUUCCACAGUGAACACUCCUACUAAUCCCAUGUGAUAAAAUUUUAUUUCAGAUAUAUUUUUCUGUUCUGGGGCUUCCAUUUGGUUCUUUUUCUAGAGCUUCUGUAUUGCUCUUAAAAUUCACCAUUUCUUUCCUCUUUGUAAUUAUCUUUUCCUUCACAACCUUUACCAUACUUGUUUGCAAAUUCCAAUAAAUAGGUCAUUUGUAGGUCUACUUUUAUCAGCUGUCUUUCUUCCUUUGCCAGUAGGUACACUUUUUCCUAUAUCUGUUCCUGUCUGGUAACUUUUCUUUUCUCUGAGUUUAUUGACAGAAACCUGAGUUCCAUGCAAGUUACUGGUAGCAGAACGUCUC